rnacentral:rRNA from 1 species
ACUGCUCAGUAACACGUGGACAACCUGCCCUUAGGUUGGGUAUAAACCCGGGAAACUGGGUAUAAUACCCGAUAGGUCUCGAUUGCUGGAAUGCAUCGAGAUUUAAAGCUCCGGCGCCUAAGGAUGGGUCUGCGGCCUAUCAGGUAGUAGUGGGUGUAGCGUACCUACUAGCCUACGACGGGUACGGGUUGUGAGAGCAAGAGCCCGGAGAUGGAUUCUGAGACACGAAUCCAGGCCCUACGGGGCGCAGCAGGCGCGAAAACUUUACAAUGCGGGAAACCGUGAUAAGGGAACACCGAGUGCCAGCAUCAUAUGCUGGCUGUCCAGAUGUGUAAAGUACAUCUGUUAGCAAGGGCCGGGCAAGACCGGUGCCAGCCGCCGCGGUAACACCGGCGGCCCGAGUGGUGACCGUUAUUAUUGGGUCUAAAGGGUCCGUAGCCGGUUUGGUCAGUCCUCCGGGAAAUCUGAUAGCUUAACUGUUAGGCUUUCGGGGGAUACUGCCAGGCUUGGAACCGGGAGAGGUAAGAGGUACUUCAGGGGUAGGAGUGAAAUCUUGUAAUCCCUGUGAGACCACCUGUGGCGAAGGCGUCUUACCAGAACGGGUUCGACGGUGAGGGACGAAAGCUGGGGGCACGAACCGGAUUAGAUACCCGGGUAGUCCCAGCCGUAAACUAUGCUCGCUAGGUGUCAGGCAUGGCGCGACCGUGUCUGGUGCCGCAUGGAAGCCGUGAAGCGAGCCACCUGGGAAGUACGGCCGCAAGGCUGAAACUUAAAGGAAUUGGCGGGGGAGCAC